rnacentral:rRNA from 1 species
AUUGAACGCUGGCGGCAUGCCUUACACAUGCAAGUCGAACGGCAGCACGGGUGCUUGCACCUGGUGGCGAGUGGCGAACGGGUGAGUAAUAUAUCGGAACGUACCUUAUUGUGGGGGAUAACGCAGCGAAAGCUGUGCUAAUACCGCAUAAUCCCUAAGGGGGAAAGCGGGGGACCGUAAGGCCUCGCGCAAUUAGAGCGGCCGAUACUUGAUUAGAUAGUAGGUGAGGUAAAGGCUCACCAAGGCAACGAUCAGUAGCUGGUCUGAGAGGACGAUCAGCCACACUGGGACUGAGACACGGCCCAGACUCCUGCGGGAUGCAGCAGUGGGGAAUUUUGGACAAUGGGGGCAACCCUGAUCCAGCAAUGCCGCGUGAGUGAAGAAGGCCUUCGGGUUGUAAAGCUCUUUUGUCAGGGAAGAAACAGCAGCUCUAACACAGUAUGCGAAUGACGGUACCUGAAGAAUAAGCACCGGCUAACUACGUGCCAGCAGCCGCAGUAA